rnacentral:tRNA from 1 species
GCCAAGAUGGCCGAGUGGUCUAAGGCGCUGCAUUCAAGACCCUGUCUUAGCCAGUUAACUGGAAACCUGCAGUAUCGAAAGAUUCUUGGGUUCGAAUCCCAAUCUUGGCA